ACCAUGACACCAAUUCAGAGAGAAGAAUAUUUUGGGGGACUGUGUCAAAGGCUUUACAGAAGUCCAGAUAAAUGACACCUGUAACCUUUUGUCCUUGGUACAGAGAAAUGGGUGUGGAGUGUUCAGUGAUGUUUAUACAAUUCCAUCUUACAUCACAGCAGGGGGAAUGCCAUGCCCAGAAAUGGAAGGGGGGCCAUUUUGUCUGGCACACUUUAGCAAAAGGAUCUGUGGACAUGGCAUCCCAUGUCUAGACAUUGUUUUUUCCCCACUUUCCAUCCCUCUAAGUUGUUUGUGCAGGACAAGGGGCUGAGAAGAGGCAGUGGGGCUGCUGCUGGGGAUGUGGUGCUGAAGCUCAGAGAGGCAGCCAAGACCAAUAGUGCUGGGGGCACAGUUUUAUAGUUGCCAGAUGGACCAUUUCCCCACAUCCCAGUGUGACAAGGAUAUGGAGCAACAGUGCCAAUACUAACCAGCUGAGCAAGAAACCAGUCCAGCAGGGUGGCACUGAAUUCCACAGCAUGGCUUCUGGAUCUCUUCCAUCAUGUUUCCAGGCACAGAGGGAUGACUGUCACUAGUGACUCACAUGAAGAAAUCCACUAGGACCCUGCCAACACGAAUACGUUAACUACUGAUCAUCAGCAGCAUUUCACAGGUUGGCUACAUUCGGGUUCUACAGAGCAGUAUUGUCUGCUAAUAAAAUAUACCUAGAAACCAUAUGAAAACACAGGUUAUGGAGAAUUCCAGGAAACAGUGGACCAAAUGCUGCCUGUUUCUCUCUGAUUCAUCUGCUUUAAAGCUGAAAUAAGAAAAAAUAGACAUAAACUUGGUUUUCCUAACUUCAUUUGAUUAACAGAAUAAAGUUUCCUAAAC